rnacentral:rRNA from 1 species
UACGGGGGGGGGCAAGCGUUGUUCGGAAUUACUGGGCGUAAAGGGCUCGUAGGCGGCCAACUAAGUCGGAUGUGAAAUCCCCAGGCUUAACCUGGGAACUGCAUCCGAUACUGGAUGGCUUGAAUCCGGGAGAGGGAUGCAGAAUUCCAGGUGUAGCGGUGAAAUGCGUAGAUAUCAGGAGGAACACCGGUGGCGAAGGCGGAUCUCUGGGCCGAUACUGACGCUGAGGAGCGAAAGCGUGGGUAGCAAACAGG